UACGGAGGGUGCAAGCGUUAUCCGGAUUCACUGGGUUUAAAGGGUGCGUAGGUGGGCAGGUAAGUCAGUGGUGAAAUCUUUGGGCUUAACCGAAACUGCCAUUGAUACUAUUUGUCUUGAAUAUUGUGGAGGUCAGCGGAAUAUGUCAUGUAGCGGUGAAAUGCUUAGAUAUGACAUAGAACACCAAUUGCGAAGGCAGCUGGCUACGCAUAUAUUGACACUGAUGCACGAAAGCGUGGGAUCAAACAGG
rnacentral:rRNA from 1 species